CCCCAACCCACCCAACCCCCACGUCUUCACUUCCCGACCCUUCCAGCUAUUUAUAGCACAGAAGCACAGCCGGCAACUGGGCAAACUGCGGGAUCGUGUUUUCGGAAAGGGGAGAAGGCAGCGAGGCGACAGCCCGGUCGCUCCGUGGUUGUGUGAGAGACUCAGAGAGAGACAGAGAGAGAGAGUCAGAGAGUGUGCGUUUCCUCCGAGACGGUCCGGCGGCGAAGCGAUGGAGGUGACAACGUGCGGCUUAGCGCUGUGUGUCCUGCGUGUGCUGUGUGUGCUGAGCGGCGCGCCCACCGUCACAGGAGGAGCAGGCCAAAGCACCAACGUGCCCCGAACAACCAUCCGAAUAUCGCCCCAAUUUGAAGCAGCGUCCACUGUCGCUAUGUCACCUUCUACCCCUCUCUUGAGAGCAAGCACAAGACCAGGACAAACCACCCUGAAUCAAAGCUCAUCUGACCCUUCCUGGACUACCUCUUUGUACUCCAACAGCUCUCGCACCACCCCACUGCUCUCGGUGCCGGAGGGCAACAGCAGCAGGAGCAACGAUACGCUAACAGUCGCUCCUUACAGCACCCGGCAGCCUGCUCAUUUGAACAACACAGGUACACCACAUCAAGAAUCUACUGCCACCUCAGCUGCCAUGGACACUACGAGAUCUUUUCCUCAGCUCAUUAACUCCACACAUAAGGACAUCAAACAUCCAACCCUUGAUGACUCCAGUACACCCACCCCCUUUACCCACAAGAGCACUGGUGGUACUGAUUCAUCACUGUCUCCUACUCAUCCAAACACUCCAUCCACAACUGCUACUCCUGCAUAUGAGUCAACGGCCAUCAGCCAGCUGAUAUUCACGUCCAGUCCUGCCGAGACCCAUGAAGAAGGUCCUUCUGUGCUUAACGUGGGAGACGAUGUGCUGCUCCACCCCAGAGCACCUCUGGAUCCUCUCCUGGCCGCCCUGCUGUCUGUGUUCAUUGUGAUGGGGGCCAUUGUUUCCCUCUUCCUCUUCCUCAAGUUCCGGCAACACAGCGAGCGGCCUGAGUUCCACCGUCUCCAGGACCUGCCGAUGGAUGACAUGAUGGAAGAUACCCCACUCUCCAGGUACAGCUACUGACCUGAUGCCUGUGAACGUCACCAGAUUCAUGCUUGUCUGCCGACUGACAAGGGCCUCCAUCGUCCGUCUACUGUCAGCGGUGCUUCUGAGUGGACCUUCACUGUAUACAGGCCAGAGUCUCCUCUGCCCUUCAACAACUUUAUUUCUUCUGUACGCUUGUGAAGAUCCCUGGUCAGGUACUGUCUGGAUUUUUUGAACAGCCAAGGCAAACUGCCAUUUAGUAAGGCGGUGGCUGAGGUUCAUUCAUGCCUUGAUCACUUUGAGCGCUGCUCCUCCGAUGAGUCUGCAUCAGUUUGCCAUCUGGUGGCAGUUUGGGAUCCUACCUUUUUCAUGCUGCGCUAAACAAGAGAGCGAGAAGAAAAGUUUCACAGACACUUGCACUGAGCUGGUGAGAAAUGGAGAUAGAAAACUGACUUAUUCCCGAAGGCACAACAUCGGUUAUAGUAAGGUAAUAUUUUAAAAUCUGGUUGGAAUUAUUUAGGAGCAAAGAUCCGAAAGGUGCAGAUGCAAUUUGCGUUGCGCUUCAUUCCGAAAUUGGCUCAUACCGUAUAUCCAGGAUCCUAAAAGAACCCUGUUAACAUAUAAAUAAUCACAGUUUUGUUUGUUAUGUCUCAGGAGGAUGACGUAAGAAUGAAUUUACUCAGAAAGGAAAAGUAGUAUCUUACAUGCAUUUGAAAUUGUGUUGAAAUUGUGCUUCAACGUCAAUCAAAAUUCCCGCGACAGGUCAGUAUGCACGCGAUUGUGUCCGUGCUGUUCCCUGCAAAGUCAGAAGUAUUUUCUUGGAUCCUUGUGAUUUUGAUGUCACUGCCUCGUGUUGAUGGAAGGUCUGAAAGGAAGACUCCACCAGUGAAAAGGUGACAAUACGACUGUAAACUUCACGUUCUCCUCAAUUCCAUUUGUAGGAGUCACUUAAGAAUCUGCAGAACUGUACAGUAGGCAACAACUGCCAGAUAGAUGCAAAUAUUCAUUGAUGGCAGUAACCUUUAAUCUCUUUUGGCUC
rnacentral:lncRNA from 1 species